rnacentral:rRNA from 1 species
GGCUCCUUGUAUAAAAAUAAAUAAGGAGUCGGACCUGCCCAGUGAAUUUUUUUAACGGCCGCGGUACUCUGACCGUGCAAAGGUAGCAUAAUCAUUUGCCUUAUAAUUGAAGGCUAGUAUGAAUGGUUUGACAAGAAUAUAACUGUCUCUUUAUAAUUUUAUAGAAUUUUAUCUUAAGGUGAAGAAGCCUUAAUGAAAUUAAAAGACAAGAAGACCCUAUCGAGCUUUAAAUAACUUAAUGGAUAUAUAAUUAAUAGUAAUUUAAAAAAUCAACUAUUAAAAAUUUUGGUUGGGGCGACUGAGGAACACAAAAAGCUUCCUUUAAAAUAAUAUAGACUAUACUAGUAUUGAUCCAGAAUUUUUGAUUAAAGAAAUUAGUUACCGUAGGGAUAACAGCAUUAUCUUUUUUGAGAGCUCUUAUCGAAAAAAAGGUUUGUGACCUCGAUGUUGGACCAGAAUAUCCUAAAGAUGCAGAAGUCUUUAAGGGUUAGUCUGUUCGACUAUUAAAAUUCU